GAAUAUUGGACAAUGGGGGAAACCCUGAUCCAGCAAUGCCGCGUGAGUGAAGAAGGCCUUAGGGUUGUAAAACUCUUUCAGUGGGGAAGAUAAUGACGGUACCCACAGAAGAAGCUCCGGCUAACUCCGUGCCAGCAGCCGCGGUAAUACGGAGGGAGCUAGCGUUGUUCGGAAUUACUGGGCAUAAAGCGUACGUAGGCGGAUUAGCAAGUUGGGGGUGAAAUCCCGGGGCUUAACCCCGGAAUUGCCUCCAAAACUGCUGAUCUAGAGUCCGGGAGAGGUAAGCGGAAUUCCUAGUGUAGAGGUGAAAUUCGUAGAUAUUAGGAAGAACACCAGUGGCGAAGGCGGCUUACUGGACCGGUACUGACGCUGAGGUACGAAAGCGUGGGGAGCGAACAGG
rnacentral:rRNA from 1 species